rnacentral:guide_RNA from 1 species
AAAACGCAUAUAAGUGAGUCUAUAUACAGAUAAUGAUGAUAAUUUAU